rnacentral:rRNA from 1 species
UACAGAGGGUGCGAGCGUUGUUCGGAAUUAUUGGGCGUAAAGGGCGCGUAGGCGGUGCGGUAAGUCACCUGUGAAAUCUCCCGGCUCAACCGGGAGCUUGCAGGCGAAACUGCCGUGCUGGAGUGUGGGAGAGGUGCGUGGAAUUCCCGGUGUAGCGGUGAAAUGCGUAGAUAUCAAGAGGAACACCAGUGGCGAAGGCGAGUCCCUGGACAACACCUGACACUGAGGCACGAAAGCUAGGGGAGCAAACAGG